rnacentral:rRNA from 1 species
ACGAACGCUGGCGGCAUGCCUAACACAUGCAAGUCGAACGAAGCCUUCGGGCUUAGUGGCGCACGGGUGCGUAACGCGUGGGAACCUACCAUCAGGUUCGGAAUAACAGUUAGAAAUGACUGCUAAUACCGGAUAAUGUCUUCGGACCAAAGAUUUAUCGCCUUUUGAUGGGCCCGCGUUGGAUUAGCUAGUUGGUGGGGUAAAGGCCUACCAAGGCGACGAUCCAUAGCUGGUCUGAGAGGAUGAUCAGCCACACUGGGACUGAGACACGGCCCAGACUCCUACGGGAGGCAGCAGUGGGGAAUAUUGGACAAUGGGCGAAAGCCUGAUCCAGCAAUGCCGCGUGAGUGAUGAAGGCCUUAGGGUUGUAAAGCUCUUUUACCAGGGAUGAUAAUGACAGUACCUGGAGAAUAAGCUCCGGCUAACUCCGUG